GAUGAACGCUGGCGGCGUGCCUAAUACAUGCAAGUCGAGCGAACGGACGAGAAGCUUGCUUCUCUGAUGUUAGCGGCGGACGGGUGAGCAACACGUGGAUAACCUACCUAUAAGACUGGGAUAACUUCGGGAAACCGUAGCUAAUACCGGAUAAUAUUUUGAACCGCAUGGUUCAAAAGUGAAAGACGGCCUUGCUGUCACUUAUAGAUGGAUCCGCGCUGCAUUAGCUAGUUGGUAAGGUAACGGCUUACCAAGGCAACGAUGCAUAGCCGACCUGAGAGGGUGAUCGGCCACACUGGAACUGAGACACGGUCCAGACUCCUACGGGAGGCAGCAGUAGGGAAUCUUCCGCAAUGGGCGAAAGCCUGACGGAGCAACGCCGCGUGAGUGAUGAAGGUCUUCGGAUCGUAAAACUCUGUUAUUAGGGAAGAACAUAUGUGUAAGUAACUGUGCACAUCUUGACGGUACCUAAUCAGAAAGCCACGGCUAACUACGUGCCAGCAGCCGCGGUAAUACGUAGGUGGCAAGCGUUAUCCGGAAUUAUUGGGCGUAAAGCGCGCGUAGGCGGUUUUUUAAGUCUGAUGUGAAAGCCCACGGCUCAACCGUGGAGGGUCAUUGGAAACUGGAAAACUUGAGUGCAGAAGAGGAAAGUGGAAUUCCAUGUGUAGCGGUGAAAUGCGCAGAGAUAUGGAGGAACACCAGUGGCGAAGGCGACUUUCUGGUCUGUAACUGACGCUGAUGUGCGAAAGCGUGGGGAUCAAACAGGAUUAGAUACCCUGGUAGUCCACGCCGUAAACGAUGAGUGCUAAGUGUUAGGGGGUUUCCGCCCCUUAGUGCUGCAGCUAACGCAUUAAGCACUCCGCCUGGGGAGUACGACCGCAAGGUUGAAACUCAAAGGAAUUGACGGGGACCCGCACAAGCGGUGGAGCAUGUGGUUUAAUUCGAAGCAACGCGAAGAACCUUACCAAAUCUUGACAUCCUUUGACAACUCUAGAGAUAGAGCCUUCCCCUUCGGGGGACAAAGUGACAGGUGGUGCAUGGUUGUCGUCAGCUCGUGUCGUGAGAUGUUGGGUUAAGUCCCGCAACGAGCGCAACCCUUAAGCUUAGUUGCCAUCAUUAAGUUGGGCACUCUAAGUUGACUGCCGGUGACAAACCGGAGGAAGGUGGGGAUGACGUCAAAUCAUCAUGCCCCUUAUGAUUUGGGCUACACACGUGCUACAAUGGACAAUACAAAGGGCAGCGAAACCGCGAGGUCAAGCAAAUCCCAUAAAGUUGUUCUCAGUUCGGAUUGUAGUCUGCAACUCGACUACAUGAAGCUGGAAUCGCUAGUAAUCGUAGAUCAGCAUGCUACGGUGAAUACGUUCCCGGGUCU
rnacentral:rRNA from 1 species